AAUUCGAUGCAACGCGAAAAACCUUACCACCUUUGACAUGUACGGAAUCCUUUAGAGAUAGAGGAGUGCUCGAAAGAGAACCGUAACACAGGUGCUGCAUGGCUGUCGUCAGCUCGUGUCAUGAGAUGUUGGGUUAAGUCCCGCAACGAGCGCAACCCUUGUCAUUAGUUGCUACAUUCAGUUGGGCACUCUAAUGAGACUGCCGGUGAUAAACCGGAGGAAGGUGGGGAUGACGUCAAAUCAUCAUGCCCCUUAUGACCUGGGCUACACACGUGCUACAAUGGUUGGUACAACGAGUUGCGAGUCGGUGACGGCGAGCUAAUCUCUUAAAGCCAAUCUCAGUUCGGAUUGUAGGCUGCAACUCGCCUACAUGAAGUCGGAAUCGCUAGUAAUCGCGGAUCAGCACGCCGCGGUGAAUACGUUCCCGGGCCUU
rnacentral:rRNA from 1 species